GGUAUUAUAUUUUCCAAAUUGUCAGAUGAUCCCAAACAAAAAAAAUCCAAACCCCUAAAAUCAAUGGCAGUCCCUUAAAUAUCACUGUGACAAGAACACUUAACAGUAAUAUACAGAAUCAUCCAUCCUACUAUACCAUCCACAGUCCAACACAGGUUAGUUAACUUCUGUGCAAUGAAUUCCCAGCCCCUGGGACCAGAUGUGUCAGGAUAGAGAGACAGACAGAGGGAGGGGGAAGAUAGUAACAGCAACAAAACAUUUUCCUACGAAACUUGUACACAUCUCUCCAAGUCUAACAGGUGCAACUACAGUCUAGACAUCCCCUCACAGUUCUCUGACAAACAAGUUUCCCCAUAACAUAUGUCCCCAGAGCUACUCCCCUGUAGACCGGAGAUGGCCUUUUCUUCAAGAACUCAACUUUCACUUGGCAAAUAAAACCAACCCCUAGCAAGCCUCCCUCACACAGAACCAUCUUAGGCUGUUCCUGUGGAAAAUCCAAUUGGGAAAAAAAGACCUCCAAACCAUCACCUCCUCCAAGUGCAGACCUCCUCCAGGCUGGCCAUCACCAUCCAAGGGUG
rnacentral:lncRNA from 1 species